rfam:Triticum urartu cultivar G1812 contig1230174, whole genome shotgun sequence.
CUUGUACUCCCUCCGUCCAAAAAUACUUGUCAUUGAAAUGGAUGUAUCUAGAUGUAUUUCAGUUGUAGACACAUCCAUUUUGAUGACAAGUAAUUCCGGACGGAGGGAGUACUUG